UAGUGGCGAACGGGUGCGUAACACGUGAGGAACUUGUCCCGGUCUCUGGGAUAACAGUUGGAAACGACUGCUAAUACCGGAUGACGUCGGAACUUCGCAUGGAGUACUGACGAAAGGGUUACUGGAUCGGGAGAGCCUCGCGGCCUAUCAGCUUGUUGGUGGGGUAAUGGCCUACCAAGGCAUCGACGGGUAGCUGGUCUGAGAGGAUGAUCAGCCACACUGGGACUGAGACACGGCCCAGACUCCUACGGGAGGCAGCAGUGGGGAAUCUUGCACAAUGGGCGAAAGCCUGAUGCAGCAACGCCGCGUGCGGGAAGAAGGCCCUCGGGUUGUAAACCGCUUUCAGAAGGAACGAAACUGACGGUACUUUCAGAAGAAGGUGCGGCCAACUACGUGCCAGCAGCCGCGGUGACACGUAGGCACCAAGCGUUGUCCGGAUUUAUUGGGCGUAAAGAGCUCGUAGGCGGUUCAGUAAGUCGGGUGUGAAAACUUUGGGCUUAACCCAAAGCGUGCAUCCGAUACUGCUGUGACUUGAGUUCGGUAGGGGAGUGGGGAAUUCCUAGUGUAGCGGUGAAAUGCGCAGAUAUUAGGAGGAACACCGGUGGCGAAGGCGCCACUCUGGGCCGAAAC
rnacentral:rRNA from 1 species